rnacentral:rRNA from 1 species
UACAUAGGCAGCAAGCGUUGUUCGGAGUUACUGGGCGUAAAGGGUGCGUAGGCGGCCCUAUAAGUAUGGUGUGAAAUCUCCCGGCUUAACUGGGAGGGUGCGCUAUAGACUGUGGGGCUAGAGUGCGGGAGAGGAAAGUGGAAUUCCUGGUGUAGCGGUGAAAUGCGUAGAUAUCAGGAGGAACACCGGUGGUGUAAACGGCUUUCUGGACCGUAACUGACGCUGAGGUGCGAAAGCGUGGGGAGCAAACAGG